rnacentral:rRNA from 1 species
GACGAACGCUGGCGGCGUGCCUAACACAUGCAAGUGGAGCGACGAACCAGGGCUUGCCCUGGAGCAAAGCCGCGAACGGGUGAGUAACACGUGGGUACCUGCCCCGAUGAUUGGGACAACCCGAGGAAACUCGGGCUAAUACCGAAUGUGCCCUGCCGGCCCAAGCCGGCGUGGGGAAAGGAAGCUUCGGCCUCCGCCUCGGGAGGGGCCCGCGGCCCAUUAGCUAGUUGGUGAGGUAAAGGCUCACCAAGGCAACGAUGGGUAGCUGGUCUGAGAGGACGAUCAGCCACACUGGGACUGAGACACGGCCCAGACUCCUACGGGAGGCAGCAGUGGGGAAUCUUGCGCAAUGCGCGAAAGCGUGACGCAGCAACGCCGCGUGGGGGAAGAAGGCCUUCGGGUUGUAAACCCCUUUCAGGAGGGACGAAGGUGCGGCGGCGAAUAGCCGACCGCACUGACGGUACCUCCAGAAGAAGCCCCGGCUAACUACGUGCCAGCAGCCGCAGUAA